CUAUGACUUUUACCUCCCGCUACUUUGCACCCUGGUAUGGUGUUUCAGAAAGAUCCUGUCACAGGAUCUGCUCAUGCAGUUUUAAGUAGUUACUGGUCACAACAACUGGGGAAAAAGGAAAUGUGUGCAUUUCAGUGUUCUGCCCGUGGAGGAAGGUUGAAGAUUUUGCUCCGGCAGGACGGAAGAGUAGAUAUUGGUGGUCAAACAGUCAUUGUAUUAAAAGGCUCUUUGACCAUUUGAAGAAACAACAACAGCUUUCAAUUUUUUUAAAUCUGUUUGUUCAGAUUUUUAUUGCUAUGGAUGCAUAUUUUACUUACCAGAAUGCAGCUACUUAAUUUUAAAGGGAUAAUAUUCAUAAUUUGGAAGCUUGUUUCCAAAUCAAUAAAAAUUAAUUGUAGUCAAUUAGAUAAUUACCCAUCAAUAUAUACCGGUAGUCAAUAUCACAGUAUAUUAGUCGCUAAAGUAACUUUAAGUAUUGUAGUUCAUUCAUAUAUAAAUAUACAUUUAAAUAUAAUUAUUAAAGUAUCUAUGUGAUUUUGUUAACAGUGAAAAUAUUCACAGGAAUCUUUUUGAGAUCUUAUGUCUUUGUAAAUGGACUGCAAGAAUUAGAAUUACACAGUUGUAUAAUAUCCGUAUCCGGCAGAGGGUUGCUAUUACAUUACUACAUAGUAGAGCCAGCAAAAGUGUCUGGUGCUUAUUGACCUGUGAUACACAUUGGUGCUUAGUGUGCAUCACACAUUGAUGUGGAUUGCAUAUUUGCCAGUGUCCCAUACACAUCUUUACAAUUCAAUAAAUCUGUUUCUUAUCACUUGUGCUACGUAGCUAGGUAUAUGUAAAGUUAUAUAACAUAACAGGUCAUAUAGGAUUCUGGCUGAUGUUUCCACAUAUUAUUUACUGGUAAUUGAACAUGAAGGAGAUUUUAUUUUUUACUAACAAUUAGGAGUUCUUUUAUUUAAUAACAAUGAAGUGGGUAGCCUGAGUGGCACCCCUACUGCAGCAUGCCCUAUUUGGAAAUCUGGAUGGCUGCAACACAGGAGGAAGCAAGAGUACCCACCACAAUGAGAUAAUCCAAAGAUAUCAGUAUAAUCCUUUUGUCCAUGGAGGGUGAAGAUACAGUUCUGACCUGAGAGGUUGGUUGUGCAUACACUAAGGGCUUUUUCCCAGUAGAAUAUCUUUGUCUGAGAUAUUCAUGCCAAUUGUCCAAACAUUUCCUCAGUCUCCUAAACAUUUUUCUUUAGCACCAAGGUAAUCCAUUCAUCCCAAAGUGGCUUCUUGGGGCAUGAUUUUAAAUAUAAAUAUCUCUGCCUGAACGCUGGCAAUUCAGAUUAGUCUGAAGCAGGACAGAACCUCUGUUUGACUUUUACUAGAUUCUUCAAUAAGCCAGCCACCCCACUUGCUGUGCCUAUUGAGCCAUCUCUGUUCCAGACACCCCUUGAUUGGAACCAAGCUUCAAGAUCGGUACAGUAUUACCAUUAGCAAGGCCUCCGCUUUGUACCUUUCUUCACCUUUGCUUCAUUAGCUCUUGUGUGUGCAUGAGUGUUGAUUAUUUCACUAAUAAACUACAAAACCUA